UUAGCUAAAGAAGAAGGG
rnacentral:snRNA from 1 species